UUAAGUGAAUAAGGGCGUACGGUGGAUGCCUAGGCACUUGGAACUGAAGAAGGACGCAACAAACGGCGAAACGCGACGGGGAGUGGUACGUACACAAAGAUCCGUCGAUAUCCGAAUGGGGAAACCCGGCAGCAGUAAUGAGCUGUCACCCAUGAGUGAAUACAUAGCUCAUGAGGGAGGUACCCGGAGAACUGAAACAUCUAAGUAUCCGGAGGAAAAGAAAAUAAGAAUGAUUCCGUAAGUAGCGGCGAGCGAACGCGGAGGAGCCCAAACCAGAUCUUGAUCUGGGGUUGUAGGACCACGAAAUGGCAAGAGCAUGGCUAAGAGAACGGCAUUGAAAGGCCGACCGGAGAGGGUGCAAGUCCCGUAACUGAAAGCAAUGUGAAGCCUAGUGGUAUCCUGAGUACGGCGAGACACGAGAAAUCUUGUCGGAAGCAGGCGGGACCAUCCGUCAAGGCUAAAUAUACCCAAGUGACCGAUAGUGAACCAGUACCGUGAGGGAAAGGUGAAAAGAACCGCGGGAGCGGAGUGAAAUAGAACCUGAAACCGUAUGCUUACAAGAAGUCAGAGCCCGUUAAAGGGUGAUGGCGUGCCUUUUGUAGAAUGAACCGGCGAGUUACGUUAUCGUGCGAGGUUAAGUAGAAGAUACGGAGCCGAAGCGAAAGCGAGUCUUAAUAGGGCGACAGUACGAUGAUGUAGACCCGAAACCGUGUGAUCUAGCCAUGACCAGGUUGAAGUUCAGGUGAAACUGAAUGGAGGACCGAACCGACCCCCGUUGAAAAGUUGGCGGAUGAGUUGUGGCUAGGGGAGAAAUUCCAAUCGAACACGGAUAUAGCUGGUUCUCCCCGAAAUAGCUUUAGGGCUAGCGUCGAGGCUUAGUCAUGUGGAGGUAGAGCACUGAAUGUACGAUGGCCCCAUCCCGGGGUACUGAGUAUAAUCAAACUCCGAAUGCCAUAAGAUAUGCCCGGCAGUCAGACCGUGGGUGAUAAGGUCCAUGGUCAAAAGGGAAACAGCCCAGACCGCCAGUUAAGGUCCCAAAAUGCAUGCUGAGUGGAAAAGGAUGUGGGGAUGCACAGACAACUAGGAGGUUGGCUCAGAAGCAGCCAUCCUUCAAAGAGUGCGUAACAGCUCACUAGUCGAGUGACCCUGCGCCGAAAAUGUACCGGGGCUAAGCAUACUACCGAAGCUGCGGAUUCAACUUUAGAGUUGAGUGGUAGGGGAGCGUUGCAUGCACGUAGAAGCCGUACCGUAAGGAGCGGUGGAGAGCAUGGAAGAGAGAAUGCCGGUGUGAGUAGCGAGAUGUAGGUGAGAAUCCUACACACCGAUAGCCCAAGGAUUCCAGGGGAAGGUUCGUCCGCCCUGGGUAAGUCGGGACCUAACGCGAGGCCGAAAGGCGUAGUGGAUGGAAAACAGGCAGAUAUUCCUGUACCCGCGAUGGAAAUGAAGGAAUGACGGAGAAGGCUAGUGUGAGCCACUGAAUGGAUUGUGGUCGAAGCAUAUAGCAGGCUGACAGUGAAAUGCGUCAGCGGGAUGUAAGAUGUGACAGGUAAGGGAACGUCCUUGGACAAGUACUGAAGCACAUGAUGCCAGCUUCCAAGAAAAGUUUCUAGUGAUGAUUCCAUAGCGGCCCGUACCAAAACCGACACAGGUGGGCAAGGAGAGAAUCCUGAGGUGAGCGAGAGAACUGUUGCCAAGGAACUCGGCAAAAUGACUCCGUAAGUUAGCGAGAAGGAGUGCUUAUGAAAGUAAGCCGCAGUGAAGAGGCCCAAGCGACUGUUUAACUAAAACACAGCUCUCUGCAAAGUCGCAAGACGAAGUAUAGGGGGUGACGCCUGCCCGGUGCUGGAAGGUUAAGAGGAUUUGUCAGUAGCGAUACGAAGCAAUGAAUUGAAGCCCCAGUGAACGGCGGCCGUAACUAUAACGGUCCUAAGGUAGCGAAAUUCCUUGUCAGGUAAG
rnacentral:rRNA from 1 species